GGCCAGGGUAGUCCUAAUGAGGAGUCACAGGACUGAUUGAGUUGAGCAUGAUUCGAAUGAUCUGAUCAGAGUUGACAGUUUAACCCUGAGUCAUCCUAUACAUAGGGGUCAAAAGGGAUGAAUUAUAUAGUAACCAUAUUCGCAUAGGUUCUGAAUAUUGUGAUUGUGACUAUUCAACCUAUCUGGAUGUCGGAUACCAUUGCUAGAUAAUCACUUUGAUUAGUACAGGAAUUGGU
rnacentral:lncRNA from 1 species